rnacentral:rRNA from 1 species
AUACGGAGGGUGCAAGCGUUACUCGGAAUCACUGGGCGUAGAGCGCGCGCAGGCGGCUUGAUAAGUUGGAUGUGAAAGCCUACGGCUCAACCGUAGAACUGCAUCCAAAACUGUCAGGCUAGAGUCUGGGAGGGGAAGAUGGAAUUAGUUGUGUAGGGGUAAAAUCCGUAGAGAUAACUAGGAAUACCAAAAGCGAAGGCGAUCUUCUGGAACAGUACUGACGCUGAGGCGCGAAAGCGUGGGGAGCAAACAGGAUUAGAUACCCUAGUAGUCCC